GACGAACGCUGGCGGCGUGCUUAACACAUGCAAGUCGAGCGGUAAGGCCUUUUCGGAGGUACACGAGCGGCGAACGGGUGAGUAACACGUGAGUGAUCUGCCCUCAACUUCGGGAUAAGCUUCGGAAACGGGGUCUAAUACCGGAUAUGACUUCCUGCUUCAUGGUGGGUGGUUGAAAGGUUUUUCUGGUUGGGGAUGGGCUCGCGGCCUAUCAGCUUGUUGGUGGGGUAAUGGCCUACCAAGGCGACGACGGGUAGCCGGCCUGAGAGGGCGACCGGCCACACUGGGACUGAGGCACGGCCCAGACUCCUACGGGAGGCAGCAGUGGGGAAUCUUGCGCAAUGGGGCGAAAGCCUGACGCAGCGACGCCGCGUGAGGGAUGAC
rnacentral:rRNA from 1 species